rnacentral:rRNA from 1 species
UACGUAGGGUCCGAGCGUUGUCCGGAAUUACUGGGCGUAAAGAGCUCGUAGGUGGUUUGUCGCGUUGUUCGUGAAAACUCACAGCUUAACUGUGGGCGUGCGGGCGAUACGGGCAGACUGGAGUACUGCAGGGGAGACUGGAAUUCCUGGUGUAGCGGUGAAAUGCGCAGAUAUCAGGAGGAACACCGGUGGCGAAGGCGGGUCUCUGGGCCGAUACUGACGCUGAGGAGCGAAAGCGUGGGGGAGCGAACAGG